ensembl:lincRNA
GGUGACCAGGAGAAAGUGCAAAGCAUGCUGGGAAGCCAGAAACAGCCAGUGUCCCUUCACUCAGGGUCCCCCUGGGGUCCUGCAGGAGCCCCAGAGCACUCUUGGGGUGCCUGGGCACAGGAGGGGGGAGCAGAGCCCAGGGAGCUGAGGAGGAGAGGGGUCCAGGAAUUCAGCCACCUGGGAGGAGCCUGUGGAGCCAGCUUCGUCUACACUGUUAGCCAGGAAGCUAUUGUUGUCAUCAUUACCAUCGGAGUCAAGACAAUUAAUUCGUGGCUUCCCAGGGCGCUGUGCACACUGCCUGUGGCAGUUUGAAAUUAUUUUAUGAAGCCCCAAGAGAGAGAGAUUAUGUUUGUGAACUAAUCCAUUCCUGUGGGUGUGAGACCCUUUCCAUUGACUAGGUCAGUGAGGCGUGACUCGGGUUGAGUCUCCGCCCUCUUGCUGGUCUGAUAAAAAAGGAGACACAGGAAAAAGAAAGCCCGUAGUUGGUCCUGCCAUGUGAGAGAAAGGACUCCAGUUUCACCCACAGCUGAGCUGCAAGGAGAGCAACCCCUGAGAGACUCAAAGAGCUGAGGCGCAGGGAACAACGAGCCAGACGCCUGAUAGCUUACAGCUGAACUCAGGAAGAAAGCAGAGCCGCCCAGACUGAGGCAGGUGGCCCAGUAAGAGACCAGUCCUUUGCCAGGUUUGCCUUCAGCUGCAGGAAAGGGGAGACCUUGACAGAGACUGGCGACCAUCUUGUUUCACCACGUGGCAGCUGACUUUGGUGAGAAAGCACCUCUUAUGGUGCCUGCAGUUGGACUUUCACAGCCUCGAAACUGGAAGCUUCUACCCCAAAUAAAUCCCAUUUAUAAAAGCCAACAGAUUUCUGGUACUUUGCAUCGGCAGCCCUUGGCAGAUUUAAACACUGCCCUUGGAGAAGCAGCAUCAAGGAUGCACCGAGGACACAGGCUCUACAACCCGUCUCUGUGGCUUUAAAUCCUGGCCCUGUCGCUUCCCAGCUGUGUGAUUUUGGGCAAGUUACUCUACCCCUCUGUGCCUCAGUUGCUUGAGCUUGAGAAGAGUGAUAAUAAGAGUACCCACCUCACAGGCUUGUUGUGAGGAUUAAAUGAGAUCGGACUGGUGGAAGGCUUAGCACAGCACUUGGCACAGAGUUAGCAGUCGAUGAAUUCAGCACAGAGUUAGCAGUCAAUGAAUUUGGCUCUUGGUAUUACUUGGCACUUGCUAAGUUUUCAGCAAAUGAGACCUGUCAUCUUGCAAUGGUGGGAUUUGAUCAGUGGUAGGCUGGUGACAACCGCCUGUCCUAAAAAAAUUAGUGUACGCAUGUAUGUACAUACCAGAGCUUAGAGUGGUGUAGAAUACACAAUUUACAAAUAACAAUAAAAUGAAUACCAUUUCACUGAUUUUUGCCAAACUCUUGUGUCCAUACUCCAUCUCUGAUUGCAAGUCAGCUACGAUCUGGCUAAUGGAGUUGCACCCCAACCACGGGUGUAUUUCCCAUGUGAAUGUUGGCUGGUAUUUUCAUUUCCAUUUGGGAGGAAGAUGAAAGGAAAAUGAUGUAGACCUAUGUUGGUGCUUCAGUCCUCAUCAAUGACACGAACAACUUCUUCUGCUUAAUUGAAAUUAAUUCACACUGAGAGAUAUUUCCCCAGGAUAAUGGGUACAACACAAGAUACUUUUAAGUUUAAUAUGUAUUAUUAACACUUUCUCCAUCUUCUUCUUAAGACUAGAUGAUCAACCAAAGCAAGCCCUGAUUUGUAGCAUGUGCCAAUUUCCAUAGUGUAAAUGCUCUCACCAUGGCUGAAUUCAAGCUACAAAGGUGAAGUCACUGCACGUGGGGUUGGAAGAGAUGUGCAGACACACUGCUAGGUAUUACUUCCACCAUUCAGAUACAAGAGACUAUUUAACCUCAAGAACAUAAAUAAUAGCAAAAUGUAUAAAAUAAUUAGAAGCAAAGAGUAUUGAUUAUUUAUUACCUUUACUUUUAACCUAUUUUUUAAAAGAUUUAUUAUUUUUUUUAUUUCUCUCCCCUUCCCCCCCCGCCCCCAUUGUCUGUUC